GACGAACGCUGGCGGCGUGCCUAAUACAUGCAAGUCGAGCGAAUCUUUGGGAGCUUGCUCCCAUUGGUUAGCGGCGGACGGGUGAGUAACACGUGGGCAACCUGCCUGUGAGACUGGGAUAACUUCGGGAAACCGGAGCUAAUACCGGAUAAUCCUUUUCCUCUCAUGAGGGAAAGCUGAAAGUCGGUUUCGGCUGACACUUACAGAUGGGCCCGCGGCGCAUUAGCUAGUUGGUGAGGUAACGGCUCACCAAGGCGACGAUGCGUAGCCGACCUGAGAGGGUGAGCGGCCACACUGGGACUGAGACACGGCCCAGACUCCUACGGGAGGCAGCAGUAGGGAAUCUUCCACAAUGGACGAAAGUCUGAUGGAGCAACGCCGCGUGAACGAUGAAGGCCUUCGGGUCGUAAAGUUCUGUUGUAAGGGAAGAACAAGUGCCGCAGGCAAUGGCGGCACCUUGACGGUACCUUGCGAGAAAGCCACGGCUAACUACGUGCCAGCAGCCGCAGUAAUAC
rnacentral:rRNA from 1 species